rnacentral:rRNA from 1 species
AACGAACGCUGGCGGCAUGCCUAACACAUGCAAGUCGAACGAUGCCUUCGGGCAUAGUGGCGCACGGGUGCGUAACGCGUGGGAAUCUGCCUUUCGGUUCGGAAUAACUCAGGGAAACUUGAGCUAAUACCGGAUAACGUCGCAAGACCAAAGAUUUAUCACCGAAAGAUGAGCCCGCGUAGGAUUAGCUAGCUGGUGAGGUAAAGGCUCACCAAGGCGACGAUCCUUAGCUGGUCUGAGAGGAUGAUCAGCCACACUGGGACUGAGACACGGCCCAGACUCCUACGGGAGGCAGCAGUGGGGAAUAUUGGACAAUGGGCGAAAGCCUGAUCCAGCAAUGCCGCGUGAGUGAUGAAGGCCUUAGGGUUGUAAAGCUCUUUUACCCGGGAAGAUAAUGACGGUACCGGGAGAAUAAGCCCCGGCUAACUCCGUG